AUUGAACGCUGGCGGCAGGCCUAACACAUGCAAGUCGAGCGGAGCGGCGGACGGGUGAGUAAUGCUUAGGCAUCUGCCUGGUAGUGGGGGAUAACGUCCGGCAACGGGCGCUAACACCGCAUACUAUCAGAUGAGCCUAGGUCGGAUUCGCUAGUUGGUGGGGUAAAGGCCUACCAAGGCGACGAUCCUAAACUGGUCUGAGAGGAUGAUCAGUCACACUGGAACUGAGAAAGGGUCCAGACUCCUACGGUAGGCAGCAGUGGGGAAUAUUGGACAAUGGGCGAAAGCCUGAUCCAGCCAUGCCGCGGGUGUGAAGAAGGUCUUCGGAUUGUAAAGCACUUUAAGUUGGGAGGCGUUACCAACAGAAUAAGCACCGGCUAACUUCGUGCCAGUAGCCGCGGUAAUAC
rnacentral:rRNA from 1 species